rnacentral:rRNA from 1 species
UGCGUAGGUGGGCAGGUAAGUCAGUCGUGAAAUCUCCGGGCUUAACUCGGAAAGGUCAACUGAUACUGCGCGGCUAGAGUGCGGAAGGGGCAACUGGAAUUCUCGGUGUAGCGGUGAAAUGCGUAGAUAUCGAGAGGAACACCUGCGGCGAAGGCGGGUUGCUGGGCCGACACUGACGCUGAUGCGCGAAAGCCAGGGGAGCGAACG